rnacentral:lncRNA from 1 species
GGAUGAAGUUUAAGGAUCAGAACACUCAGGAAAGAGCUGAGCUGCUCUGAAUAAGAAAAGGAGGGCAGAGAGAGUAGGAGUGUACAGGUGGGAGGAGCAGGGAAGCAGGAACAGGUAAGUGGGGGAGAAUGGAAGGAUGGCAGGGACGGGAAGACCAUGAUCAGGAACUUUUGGAAGGGACCGAUGUCCAGUCAGGAUCUUCAUUAAGCUCUGCUGUGUGGAGUGGGAAAACAAUUCUCUUCCCCGUCUCUCCGUGAAUUCUAGUGCUUUGAUGACUUGUUUAUGGCCAGGGUGAGAACACAUACUCUGCAGAGGCCCCUGUCAAUGUGGGUACAGGAGCAGAAACGGAUAAGAGUUUAAGCAGAGGAGUGACAGGAUCAGGAUGCUUUCUAGAAGCAUCACUGUGAACGCAGGCAGGAGAAUGGACUGGGGAAGAAUAUCAAUAGCAGAGAGAGGGCUGCGAAGCAACAGUCUAGGUGAAAAGUGAGGGUAACCAAAAAGAACACACUGGAGACAGACAAAGUCAAUGGAUUUGAGAACUGUUGAUGUGGAGAGUUUUAAAGAUUUUUUUUCCUUUUUCUCCCCAAAGCCCCCCAGUACAUAGUUGUAUAUUCUUCGUUGUGGGUCCUGAUGUGUAGAGUUUUGACCAGAUUUGGUUUCUUCCGGAUGCAGAAGACGAGGAGAGAUAAGGGCCAGUAAGUGACAGGUUUCAAGCUUAGGUAACUUGGAUCAGUUUGGAAUCGGUUGGAUCUGGGAUGCCAGCAAGACAUCAAAGUGGAAAUGUCCAGCUGGCAUCUGAAUACAAAGCAUGGAGCUUAGAGAUGGACGGACAGAACCUGCAAAGAGCAACAAGGAGAAAACCCAGAGGGGCGGGACAGGGUCUUGGAGGCCAGAGAGGACAGUACAUCAAACACUGUCACUGCUGAGAGGUCAUGGAAGAUAAGAAUCCAAAUACAUCUGACAAAUGUGGUAACAGAAGGACAGGAAGGCAACACCAGCUCUGUUUGGCCAGAACAGCAUCCGUUUGGUCACAUGUGCAACAGCCAGACUGGUGUAGCCCAAGAAGGAGGCAGGAGUGAGGAAACGGAGGCAGCAAAUAGAGACAAUUUUCCCAAGAACUUUGGCCCUGGCAGGAGAAUUGAAUGGAGAAGUAACCGAAAGGCAAGGUAAUACUGAAGGCCUGUGGGUUUGUUUUUUUUUAAUUGUUAUGACUUGAGUAGGUUUAAAUGCUCCUAGGAAAGAGUCAGUAGCAAAAGAUGGAUAUAAGGUCAGAGAGAGAAAGUCUCUGAGAAGGUGCGAGAGGAUGGGAACAGGAUCCAGAGCUGUGAACACAAGGAAGGACUCCUCUUCCACUGAAACAGGAGGCAAGGAAAACAAGACAGGUGCAGAUGAAGUGUGUUGAUUUGGGGCAAGAACCUAAGUGAGUUCACAUUUUGGCUUCUGUUUUCUCUGUGACACAGGAGGGGCGGCCAGCUACAGAAAAUGAGAAGUGAGGGAUGGCAGGGAGCAACCACCACACAGUAGAAAGUUACCCUGUGAAAUGCGUUUCUCCCAUUCGCCAAAGCAUCAGAGCCACAUGCCAGCACUCCGUGCAUCUGUGGCUUUAACCACACAACACUGAGAACAUUAACAAAAACUCCACAGCACUCAGCAGACCUCACGAGCAGCCUCAUCUUCAAUACAGCAAGAUCAGGAAGGAGGGGGAGCCAUUUACUGUAAAUGUCUUUCUGAUGCAAUUCUACCUCCUCUUUCAAAGAGAGAAUUCAUCCAAGAAGCCUUAGUCACUUCUUCAAGAAAAAUGCCACUGCACAGAAUAUACACAGACUAAACCACACGCCUAAAGACAAGCGGAGCUGAUCCCACCACUAGAAAACAGAGAGAGAGAGGAGUCGGGGGGAGAGGGGGGAGGUCAUGUCAGAACAGAUUAAGCAUUACAUCCCAAAAUGUGGCCUCUAAUUCAGGGGAAAGUCUGACACAGAUGUAACAUGGUUGUUUUAUAAAUCAAAGGCAUACAUCGAUUUCCCCUCUGCCCGACUUUUAAAGCAUACUUCCUAAAAAUAUAAGACUUCAGUUCUAAACCAGGAACCUAAGCGUAAUUAGUAUCUUAGCAACUAUAGUUAUUUCAUUUAAAAAAUUUC